CCAGAAGAAUUCGGGAAAGGUCAAAAGGAGAGGAGACUCCAGUCCAUAUGUCCUACCAACCUCCCAGAAUCCUUCUCGCUGGAAUCCAUCUUGGCUGAGUGAUGCGUGCUCCACCAGGAAGGACCCUGAGUCAGAAUGAUUGGCCAGAGACAACCCGGAAACUAAGCCCAUUACCAUAAAACCCGAGACUGUGAGCCACGUGGCAGAGCAGUCCUCCUGGGUUCCCUUACCCUCCUGCUCUCCACCCGGGCGCCCCUACCCUAUAAAGUCUCUUGCUUUGUCAGCACGUGUGUCUCCUCGGACAAUUCAUUUCUGAGUGUUAGACAGGAGCUUACUCUCGAGCCCUGGAAAGGGUCCCCCCUUCCUGCAACAAAUGGCAAGUCUGGCAGGAUUUCUUCUUUGCUAGGACUGAUAUCCUGACCACUUGGGGUAGUCAGGGACCAGCUCACCUGAUGAUGGACCAGACCCAGUGGCUGCUACCGGGACCCUUUUGUCCCUGGUCUUCUGGUGCAGACGACUGGCCAGAGUGCCCCGAAUGGUCUUUUUGUCAUUCGUAGACACGGUUUCACUCAAAUGCCUUAGCAAAAAUGCCUCCUCUUCAAGAAGAUUUAUAGAAAGGACUUUUGGAUAAAUACAAGUUUCUGACUUUCAGACCAUAAUGCUGAACUGGGCUCACCUUAAAACAAUGCUCCAACAGAGGAGAAACUACACUCCUACUAGAACAAGAAGAAGACAACAUCAGAAGCAGACAGCUAGCCCAAGAUCCUCGACCUGACUCGUAUUAUAAUGUUUUCUUGACUUCUUGGACCUUUGCAUAUGAAUCAAAUGUUUUUCUACCAUGGGCACCAUCUUAUGCUAGUCUUAAAAAUCAGUCCAGUUGUUGGGUUUGUGGCUAGUUACCUGUGUCUAGCACUUCUGGGUUACCUUGGUGGAUUUCUCCACUCCAAGGGUCUAACUGGUUGGCUCUUAGGAAUUUAUUUUAAAAGAAAAACUUUUAGUCCUGUUCAAGCCACUGAUAUUGAUAUUACAAGAUGGAAUCCCUUCACCUGGCCAAUUAAUAAUGCCUGCUCUGACCCUGGCCAUAAAUAUGAAUUUUCCUCUCUUACUCAAGCUCAAUCAAAGCAACAAGCAACAUUUCAGCCAAGGAAUAAA